CUUUUUUACAGGGGACAAAUGAAUAAAAUGGCGGCUUUGUUUAGCUAAUUAUAAAAGUUCAAUCUUCUUAACUUUCAUAAAUUGGUCGGACGGAAUAACGUUAUGAAGAUUGGAGUUCAGAUAUAGAAUACACACAACAAGAAUUUCGACUCGAGUUGUUUAGCCAUGAGUCUGAAUUUUUCUAAAUUUUGUUAUAAUCUAUAUAUUUAAUAGGAUCAGUUAUGUAUAUUUUAUCAAUGGUAAUAUUUAUUUCAGUUAAAUCUGUAUAUGUUGUAUAUGUUGC